CACCGAGGAGAGCUACAAUGGAUAAACUAACGGGCCACGGGAGGACCGCGCUUUGAUUUAUAAUCCGUAGAGAGAUACCAUCUCUUAUGCCAUUCACAAGAGACAAGUGAAAUAAUGGUUAAGGGAUCUCACAACCUCGGAAAUAAACCACCAAUUCGACAUGGAUCUUUCCAAAACAGAGGUUUGAGCAUCGACAGCGCCUUUUAGAAAUCGUAUGCCUCCGCCUGCUUCGAACGGCGAAUUUGGGAUGAGAAGCAUUUAUCGUUUUCUGUACAGACACAUGUCCUCUCUUCAUAGGUAAAUAAUCUGAUUUCAUUUCCUCGGUAAAACCUAUUCUAUAUGCUAGCCAUAUGCUUCUCAUCCUUUACUGGAACCCUUACUGUUGACUUCCACGCGGAUACGCAGCCCUCCAUUGGAUGGCAAAAGAACCAGGACAAAUUUCCUCGCAUUGAAAAGUGGAACCCAUACGAUACUCUGGCAGUAUGUACGAGGAGGAGUCGGUUGCUAUCUUUGGUUAUCUAGCUGUAUGAGUGUUACUCGGCCAUCAUAAAGCUAGCUAACCGAAUGUAGGAAUGUCCUCCAAACCUGCGACUCUGACAGGAAUAAAUGGUGUCUGGGAGUAAAGACACAAAAUAACAUAAUUGAUAUGCAAUUACAAGCCAAUACCUCAUUGCCUUUCCGGUUGAUCCAGUGCCCUUGUCACUGCAGUGGCUGCCUGAGAUACACCCACAAACUCUGCAGUAUGAACAGCAAACUGUCUACUAAAUGUGACUGCCAGCCAUUCACACCAGGUCUGGUUGAGCAAGGGGAAAGUGGCACAGUCGUCACAAAAAAAACAGAAAGCAGGAGGGGAAGAAAAAGGCCAACCCCCUUGUCCCUCUUCCCUUAAAUCUCCAUCACCGGAAGCCUUUGGUGCCAUCUGUGCCCCUGGAGAAAAGGACGGGCGAGAUGCCUCCACCCUGUGCCAACGGGGACAAAGGAGCUGCCAGUUAGAGCGGCCCCCCUCGCAGGCAGCCAGAGGACUCUGUGUGACUGACUGGGGCUGAGCUACGGAAGCCAUCUUGAUGGAGAGUCUUGCUGCUGCUCCUAAAAUGGCUGUGUUGGCAUGAGGUCCUGCAGGUGUUGACAACCUCUAGGGGAAGAUUCUUCCAUCAGCCCUGAGCCCUUCCUCAUUGGCAUCCUCUCCAGUCAAACACUGAGAAAUGAGGGCACUGAAGAAUCCCCCCUAAAGUUAACAGACAAUGCUUGUAGACAUUUACUGUAAGGAUAAUGUUUGGAGAUAUUUACUGUAAGGACAAUGUAUGGAGAAAUUUACUGUAAGGACAAUGUUUGGAGAUAUUUACUGGAAGGACAAUGUAUUGAGAUAUUUACUGUAAGGACCAUGUUUGGAGAUAUUUACUGGAAGGACAAUGUUUGGAGAUAUUUUUUAUUUUACCUUUAUUUAACCAGGCAAGACAGUUAAGAACAAAUUCUUACUUUCAAUGACGGCCUGGGAACAGUGGGUUAACUGCCUGUUCAGGGGCAGAACGACAGAUUUGUACCUUGUCAGCUAGGGGGUUUGAACUCGCAACCUUCCGGUUACUAGUCCAACGCUCUAACCACUAGGCUACCCUGUUUGCAUAAGUUGCGCACAGAUUAUCUGAUGAUAUAUUGCACGGCUGAGAGUGUAUAGUUUCAACAUAACUUUUAACAUUACUGCAGAAUGUAAGAAUAUGUGUGUAAGAUGUGAAAUCAAAAGGGAUGAGAUCAACAUGUGUUCAUACCUUAAUCUAAGGACAGGUGUGUGUGUGUGGUGCGUGUGCGUGUGUGUGUGUGUGUGAGUACUCUGGAAUGUACUGGGCUUCAGAGAAGCACUACAGUGCCCUAAUGUGUGGGCUGUUUACAAGAGAAGCUCUCUGGAUGUCUAUCCUCUGUCAUGUGCAAUUAGUUACUUUAUGAAUAGAACUGACUACUCUAUGCAAAUAAAUGUGAAUGACUCACCCUCUGGCUGUAUUGCAAAUGUUGUUUAAUGUUUGACUGUCACAGUGAAAAGAAAGACAUUGUUUGGUGAAGAUUCCAUCCAUUUACUGUAUACCCAUCAAAUGCUGCAUUUUUCCUAAUACAAAUAUUAUCUGCAUGCGUUCAUAGUGAUCAGGGAAUGUUCUACAUGAAAUGUGUUAGAUACAGUAUUGAAGCAGUCAGAUUAAUAUCCGUCUCAUUGCCUGAUUUUUAUUAUUAUUCUUAUUCAGAGAGAUAGACAGUUUUGAACAUACCUGCAAUAAAGAAAGGGACACAUACUUGUACACAAACAAGCAUUUCGCUACACUCGCAUUAACAUCUGCUAACCAUGUGUAUGUGACAAAUAAAAUUUGAUUUGAUUUGAAACGUCUUACAAAACAUGUUGUUGUAAUUUAGUUCUGACUUGUCAUGACUUCUGUGCUGUUUGAAUUGAAUGUGUAUACAGAAUAAAUAAUACAACAGAUGUCU